AAACAGGGCUGCUGAAAAUACAGUUGACAACUUCCCGUUUAUUUACAACUAUGGACCGUUCUUAAUGUGGUUCUGUCAAGAUGAUCAUCGACCAGGAUAUCAACCCCUAUGUGGACCAAUGGGAGGCAGAGGGGAUAUUUCCUGCCCACAAAGUCUUCAAGCUCUUGGGAAAUGCUGGCUUUCUGGGUGUCAACAAGCCAGUUGCAACACAACGACAACAGCCACCCUCGAAGCAGCCUUACCCAUGCAGAGCAAGGGAAACAACCAC